rnacentral:lncRNA from 1 species
GCAGGCACGUUCUACCACACGCGCUUCGUGGCGUCGCUGCGCAACACGGAGUUCGAUGACGUCAUCUUCCCCAGAUUCGUAGACUACGGAGCCAACGUGACCCUGAAGAGCAGCGUCGCCAUGUCAGGGUACUUGGAGUCCUGGUACGACCUGUACCCUUCUACCAUCACCGCACCCUGCCAGCAGGUCACCCUAGCCUCCAUCAAGGAUAUGGAGACCAUCACCUGGACGUUGCGGUAUGUGAACAUCACGGCGGGGUCCGUGGAGGGGGGGUCCGCAGGUGACGGG